rnacentral:rRNA from 1 species
UGCAAGUCGUACGCGUUGGCCCAACUGAUUUGAAGUGCUUGCACGGAUCUGACGUUGGUUUACCAACGAGUGGCGGACGGGUGAGUAACACGUAGGUAACCUGCCCAGAAGCGGGGGACAACACUUGGAAACAGGUGCUAAUACCGCAUAACAAUUCAAAUCGCAUGAUUUGAAUUUAAAAGAUGGUUUCGGCUAUCACUUCUGGAUGGACCUGCGGCGCAUUAGCUUGUUGGUGGGGUAACGGCCUACCAAGGCAGUGAUGCGUAGCCGAGUUGAGAGACUGAUCGGCCACAAUGGGACUGAGACACGGCCCAUACUCCUACGGGAGGCAGCAGUAGGGAAUCUUCCACAAUGGGCGCAAGCCUGAUGGAGCAACACCGCGUGAGUGAAGAAGGUUUUCGGAUCGUAAAGCUCUGUUGUUGAAGAAGAACGUGCAUGAGAGUAACUGUUCAUGCAGUGACGGUAUUCAACCAGAAAGUCACGGCUAACUACGUGCCAGCAGCCGCGGUAAUACGUAGGUGGCAAGCGUUAUCCGGAUUUAUUGGGCGUAAAGAGAGUGCAGGCGGUUUCUUAAGUCUGAUGUGAAAGCCUUCGGCUCAACCGAAGAAGUGCAUCGGAAACUGGGAAACUUGAGUACAGAAGAGGGCAGUGGAACUCCAUGUGUAGCGGUGGAAUGCGUAGAUAUAUGGAAGAACACCAGUGGCGAAGGCGGCUGCCUGGUCUGUAACUGACGCUGAGACUCGAAAGCAUGGGUAGCGAACAGGAUUAGAUACCCUGGUAGUCCAUGCCGUAAACGAUGAGUGCUAGGUGUUGGAGGGUUUCCGCCCUUCAGUGCCGGAGCUAACGCAUUAAGCACUCCGCCUGGGGAGUACGACCGCAAGGUUGAAACUCAAAGGAAUUGACGGGGGCCCGCACAAGCGGUGGAGCAUGUGGUUUAAUUCGAAGCUACGCGAAGAACCUUACCAGGUCUUGACAUCUUGCGCCAACCCUAGAGAUAGGGCGUUUCCUUCGGGAACGCAAUGACAGGUGGUGCAUGGUCGUCGUCAGCUCGUGUCGUGAGAUGUUGGGUUAAGUCCCGCAACGAGCGCAACCCUUGUUACUAGUUGCCAGCAUUAAGUUGGGCACUCUAGUGAGACUGCCGGUGACAAACCGGAGGAAGGUGGGGACGACGUCAGAUCAUCAUGCCCCUUAUGACCUGGGCUACACACGUGCUACAAUGGACGGUACAACGAGCAGCGAACUCGCGAGGGCAAGCAAAUCUCUUAAAACCGUUCUCAGUUCGGAUUGCAGGCUGCAACUCGCCUGCAUGAAGUCGGAAUCGCUAGUAAUCGCGGAUCAGCAUGCCGCGGUGAAUACGUUCCCGGGCCUUGUACACACCGCCCGUCACACCAUGAGAGUUUGUAACACCCAAAGUCGGUGGGGUAACCUUUGGAG